UCCUUAAACCUGUUUAUCCCCUUUGCUUGUUAGCUCUUCAGUUCCCAGAGAGCAGGGACUCCUGGGAAACAGGAAGUAGCAAAGGCCUGUGAGAAAAUCCCCAGAUGAAAAUCAGCAGUAAAUCUCUCCCAGCAACACUUUGGUCAGAAGAGGGAAAUUCCCCACCAGCCCUCAAAAACAGUCCCUCAAGAAAGCUUAGAGAAGGUUAAUUUGGGAAAUCCCCUCAGAAGCAACAGAACAGAAACGGAAAUCUGCUUCUUAAGAGAAAUCUGAAAAGAGAAUGUUGGCCUCUAGGGAGAAAUGCAGAGCAAGUAUCAAGUGAGUACACUCCAACUAGAAAGGAUGCUAUUUGUCUUUCAAGAUGAGGAGUUGGGAAGAGGGAUACCAUUUGUGAGUUCCCAGGAGUAAAGCCACAUCAAAAGUGAAAGUGAAGUCACUCAGUCCUGUCUGACUCUUUGCGACCUCAUGGACUGUAGCCUACCAGCUCCUCCGUCCAUGGGAUUUUCCAAGCAAGAAUACUGGAGUGGACUGCCAUUUCCUUCUCCAGGAGAUCUUCCAGACCCAGGGACUGAACUCGGGUCUCCCGCAUUAUAGGCAGACGCUUUACAGUCUGAGCCACCAGGGAUGUCCGAGGAAGCCACAUCAAGGAAAAUCUAUUUCCCACAAAAUAGGAGUUUCUAAUGAAACUUUUAUUUUUGUGUAUACUUAAUAAACUGUGAAGAUCUAAAUAGCACCUAUAUUUUCUUAGAGUCUUUAAAAACACUGACUUCUUCACAUUCUACCUGAAAUGUUCAUGUGCUAAUGAGUGAAACCAUCAUCGCAGAGUGAAAGUU
ensembl:lncRNA